GGCGGACGGGUGAGUAACGCGUGGGUAACCUGCCUUGCACUGGGGGAUAACACUUAGAAAUAGGUGCUAAUACCGCAUAAGCGCACGGUCCUGCAUGGGACAGUGUGAAAAACUCCGGUGGUGCAAGAUGGACCCGCGUCUGAUUAGCUGGUUGGCGGGGUAACGGCCCACCAAGGCGACGAUGCGUAGGGGUUCUGAGAGGAAGGUCCCCCACACUGGUACUGAGACACGGACCAGACUCCUACGGGAGGCAGCAGUGAGGAAUAUUGGUCAAUGGCCGAGAGGCUGAACCAGCCAAGUCGCGUGAGGGAUGACGGCCCUACGGGUUGUAAACCUCUUUUGCCGGGGAGCAAAGAGCGGGACGCGUCCCGCCUCGAGAGUACCCGGAGAAAAAGCAUCGGCUAACUCCGUGCCAGCAGCCGCGGUAAUACGGAGGAUGCGAGCGUUAUCCGGAUUUAUUGGGUUUAAAGGGUGCGCAGGCGGAAGCGCAAGUCAGCGGUAAAAUUGAGAGGCUCAACCUCUUCCCGCCGUUGAAACUGCGUUUCUUGAGUGGGCGAGAAGUACGCGGAAUGCGUGGUGUAGCGGUGAAAUGCAUAGAUAUCACGCAGAACUCCGAUUGCGAAGGCAGCGUACCGGCGCCCAACUGACGCUCAUGCACGAAAGCGUGGGUAUCGAACAGGAUUAGAUACCCUGGUAGUCCACGCAGUAAACGAUGAAUACUCGCUGUCCGGGGAGAUUGGUCUCUGGGCGGCCAAGCGAAAGCGUUAAGUAUUCCACCUGGGGAGUACGCCGGCUACGGUGAAACUCAAAGGAAUUGACGGGGGCCCGCACAAGCGGAGGAACAUGUGGUUUAAUUCGAUGAUACGCGAGGAACCUUACCCGGGCUCAAACGACGGAUGAAUACUUUUGAAAGGAGGUAGUCCUUCGGGACAUCCGUCGAGGUGCUGCAUGGUUGUCGUCAGCUCGUGCCGUGAGGUGUCGGCUUAAGUGCCAUAACGAGCGCAACCCCCAUCGCCAGUUGCCAACAGGUAAAGCUGGGAACUCUGGCGAGACUGCCGGCGCAAGCUGUGAGGAAGGCGGGGAUGACGUCAAAUCAGCACGGCCCUUACGUCCGGGGCGACACACGUGUUACAAUGGCAGGUACAGAGAGAUGCGACACGGCGACGUGGAGCGGAACUGUCAAAACCUGUCUCAGUUCGGAUCGGAGUCUGCAACCCGACUCCGUGAAGCUGGAUUCGCUAGUAAUCGCGCAUCAGCCAUGGCGCGGUGAAUACGUUCCCGGGCCUUGCACACACCGCCCGUCAAG
rnacentral:rRNA from 1 species